AACAAAGGAGUGGAAAUAAGGAAAAUAAAGUGUAUGUUUGAGAAAAAGUAGAGAUUUUUUUGGAAGUUGCAAGGUGCAUUUCGCUUAUUUAUUAUUAUUGUUAUUUUUUCUCUUUUUUAUUUUUUUCUUUCUUUUUUUCUCUUUUUUUUAAACAAUUUUUUUUUUGUAUGGCACAACUUAACUGAACAAAAUAAUUAUUUACAUUUUUCUCAAACAUGAAUAGGUAAUAGAACUUGUAAGAUAUCGAGUAAUAUUCAAAAUCGGAGUGGGUCAAAAUGAUAAGUUGACAAAGAAAAGUUUUUUU
rnacentral:lncRNA from 1 species